UACGUAGGGUGCAAGCGUUGUCCGGAAUUAUUGGGCGUAAAGAGCUCGUAGGCGGUCUGUCGCGUCGGCUGUGAAAACCCGGGGCUCAACCCCGGGCCUGCAGUCGAUACGGGCAGACUAGAGUGUGGUAGGGGAGAUCGGAAUUCCUGGUGUAGCGGUGAAAUGCGCAGAUAUCAGGAGGAACACCGGUGGCGAAGGCGGAUCUCUGGGCCAUUACUGACGCUGAGGAGCGAAAGCGUGGGGAGCGAACAGG
rnacentral:rRNA from 1 species